rnacentral:rRNA from 1 species
GAUGAACGCUGGCGGCGUGCCUAAUACAUGCAAGUCGAGCGAAUGGAUUAAGAGCUUGCUCUUAUGAAGUUAGCGGCGGACGGGUGAGUAACACGUGGGUAACCUGCCCAUAAGACUGGGAUAACUCCGGGAAACCGGGGCUAAUACCGGAUAACAUUUUGAACCGUAUGGUUCGAAAUUGAAAGGCGGCUUCGGCUGUCACUUAUGGCUGGACCCGCGUCGCAUUAGCUAGUUGGUGAGGGAACGGCUCACCAAGGCAACGAUGCGUAGCCGACCUGAGAGGGUGAGCGUCCACACUGGGACUGAGACACGGCCCAGACUCCUACGGGAGGCAGCAGUAGGGAAUCUUCCGCAAUGGACGAAAGUCUGACGGAGCAACGCCGCGUGAGUGAUGAAGGCUUUCGGGUCGUAAAACUCUGUUGUUAGGGAAGAACAAGUGCUAGUUGAAUAAGCUGACACCUUGACGGUACCUAACCAGAAAGCCACGGCUAACUACGUGCCAGCAGCCGCCGCGG